AUCAGAAUCCAUUCCUCUAGAACAGUGAUCCUCAAAUCUGGCUCGCGAGACCCACUUUCCUGCGGAGUUGAGCUCUAACCCUAAUCAAGCACACCUGAGUUUACUAAUCAGUGUCUUCGGGAUCAUUAGAAAAUCACAGGUAGGUUUGUUUAGGAAAGUGGAUCUCGCGAGCCAGAUUUAUGGAUCACUGCUCUAGAAGGUCAUCAGUAGCUUGUAAUUCAGCUUCAGAGGAUGGGUGGGUAGGAGGCUCAUUCAGGGCACACAUCUUUACCAGCCCUGAGCUGAUCCGGAGCUAACAGACUCCUCUGUGGUGACAGACUCGCACAAGGAGACCUGCAGCUAAGGGGUUAAAGAUAGAUGGUACCAGCCAGAGGAAACCUUCACCAUGAGAGACAACUUCAUUUACUUUUUCAUUCCUUAAAGACUGUAGCUGUCAUGAUCAUCAACUGGAGGGCCCGUGAACUCCAAUAAAAGCUUUGGAUUGUUUAUAGUACCUGUGAUUCUCUGCUGCCUGCCCGACCUAUGACUGUUAUUGUUGCUGUUUCUGGAUAUCCCUUGACACACCUGAUGCUGUUCCUAAUUUCUGCCUGUCUGACCAUUCUUUAAUAAACUACUGCAUAUGAAUCCCAA